GACGAACGCUGGCGGCGUGCCUAACACAUGCAAGUCGAACGGAGAUACGAUUUCGGUUGUAUCUUAGUGGCGAACGGGUGAGUAACGCGUGAACAACCUGACUCUUAGAGGGGGAUAACACUCGGAAACGGGUGCUAAUACCGCAUAAGACCACGACCCGGCAUCGGGAUGAGGUCAAAGGAGCAAUCCGCUGAGAGAGGGGUUCGCGUCCCAUUAGAUAGAUGGCGGGGUAACGGCCCACCAUGUCAACGAUGGGUAGCCGAGCUGAGAGGCUGAUCGGCCACACUGGAACUGAGACCCGGUCCAGACUCCUACGGGAGGCAGCAGUGGGGAAUAUUGGGCAAUGGGCGCAAGCCUGACCCAGCAACGCCGCGUGAGGGAAGAAGGCUUUCGGGUUGUAAACCUCUGUCCUUGGUGACGAAACAAAUGACGGUAGCCAAGGAGGAAGCCCCGGCUAACUACGUGCCAGCAGCCGCAGUAAAAC
rnacentral:rRNA from 1 species